AGAACCGCUGCCUAAAACAAAGCUUUUGGAAUCGCUAAAAACCCCAUACGUGCCUCUUUAUUGUUGGCUAAUUCUUUUUCUGCUUCUCUCUCUUCCUCUUUGUCGUUGUUCUUCUUUUUUUGUCUGAGAAAUCUGUCUGAGAAAUCGAUGUUGGUAAAUUAAGCUGUGGGAGUAUCCAAAUAGUUCUGUUUGAAAAAAAAAAAAUUGUUUGUGUCGGUGCGAAAGAUUUCACCGCAUUUACUUGAAGGAGUCCCGGAUGUGCUUGCAAAGGAACUGUUUUUGGCAUCUGGUGAAGGUCCUGGCCUCGCUAAUGUCAACCCAUUGAUAAGAUCAGUGCAAGAGCUGAGAGGUACAGACAUGCGAAAUCUGCAGAGACGAGGUCGAAUUGACCGUUAAUGGAGAACCAUUCUGUGACACCCCGAUUUACAUAAUAAAAUGUUACGAUAAGUAAAUAGCUCUGAUACCAAAUUGUGACACCCCGAAAAUGUUACGAUAAGUAAAUAGCUCUGAUACCAAAAUGUGACACCCGCCACUUUCAAAAUAAAAUAAAUUGAUAAAAGCGAAAAUAAAAUAAUAAUACAACUCAAAUAAUAAUAAUCUUCAUAUAAUAUAAUAGUCGAUACGGUAACAAAAGGCCUAAAAGCCCAACAUCGAUAACAUCCGAAAUAUAAAAUACGAUAUAAACCAAAAGUCUGAAAUAGGAAUAACGUAGGCGAUAAAAGUCCAAAGGCCUGGAGGCCCGAUAACGAUAAAAGCGAUAAAACGAUAGAAGCCCAAAAGCCCAAUAGCACCAGUCCGAUAAUCACUCCUGCUCGUCGGUCUCACCUGAAAGGGGGAAAUAAGGAGGGGUGAGCGACAGGGGAAUCGCCCAGUGAGGUAUGGGAUGCUAAACCGCAAACCACUGACUCAGUUCAUAGCACUACAACUAUGUAGGCAUAGCUCUAGCAUGAGACAAUCACGGUGCCUAUUACACCACACAGAACAAUCACAUAUGUCUAGUGGACUAGACAUGAUACAACCAAUGCGAUAAUAGCAUAUCACAUUUCCUCAUAAGGAUAUAUAUACUUUACAGGCGUCGCUAGCACAGUAGUCCACACUGCACCCCGCAAAUCUCUAAGGCGUCGUAAGUACAAACGUCUCUGUACCCCCGCAAAUCUCCACAAACAUGGCAGCCAGUGCAAACGUCUCUGCACCCCGCAAAACUCCUCAAACAUAGGCAGCCAGUGCAAACGUCUCUGCACCCCGCAAAUCUCCAAAACAUGGACUCGUAUAUAUAUACA